AUCUUCUGGAUCCGGCUUUGCGUCAGCUCCAUGGGCAUUUUUACAACCCAGAUUUUAAGGCCAGAAGCGACUGUUAGAUCAUCCAGUCUGACCUCAUCCAUCACACUGGCCAGAGAAAUUCACCCAAUGAUUCCUACAGCGGAGUACAUCAGAAGCAGGAAGACUGCCAGGCAGUCAGUGGGGCCGCUAGACGAUUGAGGUGCUAAAGGAACGCUCAAGGAAGGCAAGACUGUUGAAGAGAAGCU